AUCGCAUUUGAGACUCGGCACUCGUGGACAGACGGGCGUUCAGGGACUGGGGAGUUUUUGGAGGGGGGUGGGGAGGCCAAUAAACCAAGAAAACGUCAGAAAUAAAAGUCGCAUCAACCAGACUGUCUUCUUCACCGCUCCCGGGCUGCACCACUGUGGGCACAUCAAGCUUCGUCUGGCUCACCUGCAUGGUUCCGGCUGAUUCCUGCCUGAGAUGGCCCAUCGUACAACUAGGAUCCCAGAAUCUCCUGUCUGCACUCUGCGGAAGAAGGACCUAUUUCAGUCUCUGGCCAGGGUCUCUCACAGCCGAUGGGGUCUUGGAAGACAGGGUGAAGUUGCAGAAGACUGGGGUGGGAUGCGAAGGCAUGCGAAGGACUUGGAAAGGGAAUUUAGGAAUACUAUACAUCAGUGCCCACCGAUGAUAUGCAUACAGGGCGAGGGCAGCCACCGCCCCUGCCUCACGCACCUAACCCCGGCUGCUCGCUGGGAUUGUCUGAGGGGGACAACCCAGGUCUGGAUGUGGUGGCAUUUUUUCAGAGAGUGGAACUGAAGAUGGAUGAAGCAGGUACUUGCUGUGUCUGCUUGGCAGGGCAGAGCUGGAGAAAUGGAAGGGGAAAAGAAGAGAUGCUGACUGUCGUAAGAUUGUCUGCUGCCAGCUCCGCAGUCUUAAUCUAAGGAAGGAUGGCAUAGUGGAUCUGCCAGCACGUGCAUGGAGGAACUGUAAAUUGCAGUGUGGAUGUCCCUGAAAGUCCUAGGAGUUCACAAGUAAACAAGGAGCUGAGGAGCAUAAGUCCUGGAAAGGAGAAGGAAGAGGGUGCUCAGCUGUGUCGCUGGAUUUCCUGGCCAUGUGUAAAGAGCCCAUUCAAAUGAGGAAGAGCAAACAGUUUUGUACCAGUGUGACUUCUCUUGACCUGUUCUCCACCGCAGAAGGAUUUGGGGCUGGAGGUUGGUGGUCCUGCCUUUAGAGAACCUGAAAUGUACUUUGUCAGGAAACCCAACACUGGAGACCCAGAAAUCAUGAAAUUAAAAUGUUUUCAUGAAAGUGAAUAAUACAGACUCCUUCCAACAACUAAAGAAGAUGGAUGAGUGUGAGAAGUCAGGACUGCAUUACCCCAACAUGGGAGAGUUGGGAGCUAUUCAUUGAGCUUAAGAACUAGAGGAGACCAUGGAAAGCAUGCCAAGACCUUUUUAUGAUGCCAGUUUGGAAGGCUGAACCAUCAUACUAUUCUUCAAGGGAAUAAUAACUCCAGCUUAAUAUCUGUAUAUCUCUGUAGGCAGGUUCAUGAAAUUCAGUUCCCAUUAGAGCAUUCAGGGAAGUCCUCUGGGUCUCCUCACAUAUUCACACUGCAAGGCAGUUACAGGAAUCAGGCCCAUGCAUCCACAGGUCAUCAUUUCAGCCACGCCAACUAAAUGCAGCAUGCAGCACAGCGACAUCAGAGAUGUACCUAGAAAAGUAGUUCCCAGGAGAGGUAUUGCGGGAUCCUCCAGUAGAACUACGUCCAAUACCUCUCCUGGGCAUAUAUCCAGAAGAUGUUCCAACUGGUAAGAAAGACACAUGCUCCAC
rnacentral:lncRNA from 1 species